GUCCCUUAGGAGACAUCCGAUAAAAUUGGAACUAUACAGAGAAGAUUAGCAUGACCCCUGCGCAAAGAUGUCUACUAGUCUCGCUGAAUGUCUACUAGUCACU
rnacentral:snRNA from 1 species